ACAGUUCAGGUGGUGCUGACACAGUUCAGGUGGUGUAGACACAGUUCAGGUGGUGUAGACACAGUUCAGGUGGUGCUGACACAGUUCAGGUGGUGCUGACACAGUUCAGGUGGUGUAGACACAGUUCAGGUGGUGCUGACACAGUUCAGG